GCAGGGUAUGGUCAAUGGACAUCAAACAUCUGACACUGAAAGACCCUGCUUCUCUAGGGGAGUGGGUCUGCACGAAUAUUUUGGCUUCGGAUGCUGGCUGGAGCAACACACCUCAGUGCAUAUUUUUACCACAGCUGGUCCUGUCCUGAGAAAUGGUAGGGCUGUGCUUCCAGCCCUGGGUCAGUCAGCUCCAGAGUCUGGACCGCAACAUCCCUGGCUGUCUUCAAGUGGCAGUAAUCAACUACUCAACCCAAAAUUUUUUACAAUAACCCUCUGAGUAUUUCCCAAGAAAGAAUAAAGGGACAUUCUCGGAAAUUACGAAAUGUGGCAGGUGAUGCAGCGUUUAAAAGACACAUCAAGAGGCAAGUCAAGUCUAAACACAUCAAGUCAAGACUGUUCUCUCUUGAAGCAUUAUAGAAAAGCUGUUCCACAUGAUUAACUUCAUUGGAUUUUGCCUUGAAUUAGAAUAUUCUUUUCAAGAUUACAAACAAACCUGUUACUCAGGAACCUGGUCUCUGGAAACUUCCACCUGAACUGGGCUCUGUGGUGUGUGUGGACAGUAAUACCACCUUUUGGAACUUGAGAGAUGUAAGUCUCUAGGUGUUCAUUAACAAAACAUUAAGACUUUGCUAGUCUAUGAAGCUCAAAACCAGACAAUCAUUUACUCAAGUUUCCUACCGAAAACAAGUGUCACUCUAGUUUGGCUGCUCUUGAUCAGAAGUUCUGAAGAUCCCAAUUCCCGAUUUUGAUCUAUGUUCAGAAUCUUGCACCUGCAUUACUUACAAGUCAGAAAAGGAGAAUGUUCACAAGUCAGGACUCUGAAGAAUUCCUGAAGAGGACAGGCCAGUUCAAAGACAUUUUCAGAAACAUAUUUAGGAAGCAGAUAAAUUGUUAAGAAACUUUCUUUGAUGAAUGAUGGACAGGUAACCUUGAUGUUAUGGAGGACUCCAUGAAAGUUUGAUUAUGUUGUCUCGUUUAAACAAGUAGAAAAUAGAAAAGACUGUGGUAGCUCUCCAGAAGCUUCACCUCUGUUAGCUCUCCAGAAGCCAAUUAAUUGUUCCCCAUAACAAUUAAAGUUCUCUACAAUAAAUAAAACAAGUUUUUAUACCUUGAA